rnacentral:rRNA from 1 species
UGGGGAAUUUUGGACAAUGGGCGCAAGCCUGAUCCAGCCAUGCCGCGUGCGGGAAGAAGGCCUUCGGGUUGUAAACCGCUUUUGUCAGGGAAGAAACGCUCUGGGCUAAUACCCUGGGGUAAUGACGGUACCUGAAGAAUAAGCACCGGCUAACUACGUGCCAGCAGCCGCGGUAAUACGUAGGGUGCAAGCGUUAAUCGGAAUUACUGGGCGUAAAGCGUGCGCAGGCGGUUAUGCAAGACAGAUGUGAAAUCCCCGGGCUCAACCUGGGAACUGCAUUUGUGACUGUAUAGCUAGAGUACGGUAGAGGGGGAUGGAAUUCCGCGUGUAGCAGUGAAAUGCGUAGAUAUGCGGAGGAACACCGAUGGCGAAGGCAAUCCCCUGGACCUGUACUGACGCUCAUGCACGAAAGCGUGGGGAGCAAACGGGGAUUAGAUACCCAAGUAGUCCCUGAGCGGGC